UAGGGAAGUCUUCCACAAUGGGCGAAAGCCUGAUGGAGCAACGCCGCGUGUGUGAUGAAGGGUUUCGGCUCGUAAAACACUGUUGUAAGAGAAGAAUGACAUUGAGAGUAACUGUUCAAUGUGUGACGGUAUCUUGCCAGAAAGGAACGGCUAAAUACGUGCCAG
rnacentral:rRNA from 1 species